GACGAACGCUGGCGGCGCGCCUAACACAUGCAAGUCGAACGAGCGAGAGGAAGCUUGCUUUCUCGAGCGAGUGGCGAACGGGUGAGUAACGCGUGAGGAACCUGCCUCAAAGAGGGGAACAACAGUUGGAAACGACUGCUAAUACCGCAUAAGCCCACGGGUCGGCAUCGACCAGAGGGAAAAGGAGCAAUCCGCUUUGAGAUGGCCUCGCGUCCGAUUAGCUGGUUGGUGAGGUAACGGCCCACCAAGGCGACGAUCGGUAGCCGGACUGAGAGGUUGAACGGCCACAUUGGGACUGAGACACGGCCCAGACUCCUACGGGAGGCAGCAGUGGGGAAUAUUGCACAAUGGGGGAAACCCUGAUGCAGCGACGCCGCGUGGAGGAAGAAGGUCUUCGGAUUGUAAACUCCUGUUGUUGAGGAAGAUAAUGACGGUACUCAACAAGGAAGUGACGGCUAACUACGUGCCAGCCGCCGCUGUAA
rnacentral:rRNA from 1 species